AUUGAACGCUGGCGGCAUGCUUUACACAUGCAAGUCGAACGGCAGCGGGGUAGUGCUUGCACUACUGUCCGGCGAGUGGCGAACGGGUGAGUAAUAUAUCGGAACGUACCGAGUAAUGGGGGAUAACCAAUCGAAAGAUUGGCUAAUACCGCAUACGUCCUACGGGAGAAAGCGGGGGAUCGCAAGACCUCGCGUUAUUCGAGCGGCCGAUAACUGAUUAGCUAGUUGGUGGGGUAAAGGCCUACCAAGGCGACGAUCAUUAGCGGGUCUGAGAGGACGAUCCGCCACACUGGUACUGAGACACGGUCCAGACUCCUACGGGUGGCAGCAGUGGGGAAUUGUGGACAAUGGGGGCAACCCGGAGCCAUCCUUGUCGUGUGUAUGAAUAGGCUUUUGUGUUGUAAAUUACUUUUGUUGGGAAGAAUUGGGAAUGUGCUAUGCUGUUUGUGUCUGACGGUUGUUAUUUAAUAGGACCGUGUACCUUCGUGUGCGGUGGCCUGUGUAUACGUAGGGUGUGAGGGUGUGUGUGUAUUUGUGGAGUGUAUGUUAUGUUGUAUGCUUUUUGUUGUGUGUGUGUGUUCUCUUGGCUUUAUUGGUUUUUUUUGUGCUGUGUUGACUUUGUUUGUGGUGUUUGGUGUUGUGCUGUGUUGUUUGUGUUGUUUUUUUGUGUUGCUGAAGUGUGCUGCUGUGUCGACGUGCGAGUGUUUUGUGGUGUGUGUGUGUGUGUGUGUGUGCAUAUGAUGGAUUU
rnacentral:rRNA from 1 species